CAGACAAACCACUUACUGGCCAUGAUUAAGUGGCUAACCCUUUUCUCUCCAAGUCUCUUUAUCCUCCAGUAAAAGAGGAGUGACAGAAUACACCUCCCAGGAACUGUUACAAGGAUUGGUGAGAUAACACAAAUUCAUUUCACUACCAGGUCAAAGACACAAUCAAAAGCCCGACAAAUGGAAUUUGUGGAAUUGGAACAAAAAGCUUUUCUUCCUAGGCACAAGAACAUCAAAGCAUAAAUCCUUCAGGUAUCAGCAAUGACAUCACUUAAGAAUUUCUCAGAAUCUUUGGCACCACCCCAGGCCUACCGGAUCAGAAUCUGAAUUUUUUAACAAGAUCUCAGAUCUAGUCAAGAGUCCAGUCUGAUUUCUCUUUAUUGGGACUACCACCCAAAGCAGAAUGAGGAUGAUGUAACCACGCCCAGUGACUUCUGGAUACCACUGACUCUAGAUCCUGAAUUCCAGCAGAAUGGCUGACACCAACUGGUCUGAAGACCCUCACCAAGGAACUGACUCAGUGCAGGAAUGCAGUUUCUUCAUCUCCCUAUCCCUGACUUCACCCCUCACUUCUCAACCAAUCAGUGAUCACCACACUUUAGGCCAUCACCUGUGUCCAGACCCCUUAAAAACCCCAUCUGCAAACCUCUUGAAGAGGCAUAUUUGAGGUUUCCUCUCAUCUCCUCAUUUGGUUUCCCUACAAUUAUUAAAUUCUUUCUCUGCUGCAACUCCUACUUUUUCAGUGUAUUGGUCUGUUACUGUGCAACAGGAAAUCAGACCUGGUGGUCCUAUAGUAAGAGUUCACAGAAUAUGAUAUACAAAGUGAUCUGUGAUAUACAAAAACCGGCACAAUCUCACUCUUAAUAAGAAAAAUUCAACUUAAAAUUAAAAGUUUUUUUUCCUCAGAAUGGCAAAGAUCAAAGUUUGAUAACAUGGUUGGAAAGUAUGCAGACCGAUAUUCUCAUAUUCAUUGAUGAAGUGUAAAUUGAUACAUCCUUUGUCAGUACGGACAGGUUUCCCAACUCUAGGGGUGAAAUUUAUACAGACUACAGUGUGAAUGACAACCACUUCAAAUUGGGUGAUAUGAUGACCUUGACUCUGUGGAGGGUCAUUUGGCAAAAUAUCUCAAAAUAAAAAUGUACAUACAAUUUGA
rnacentral:lncRNA from 1 species